UGGCAGUGACGACUAAAUUUAUACCAUCAAACUUUGAAAGCUUCAAAUAAAGCUUGUUGAUGCCAACAAUACUGUAAUAUCUGAGCCU